UAACCUAAUAAGGAUUCAUUCUAUGCAGGGGUGUCAAACUCAUUUUCGCUGGGGGCCACAUCAUCCUCACGGUUUCCUAUUUCAAAGGGUCAAAAUAACUUUAGGACUGUAUAAAUGUAACUACUUCUUAACUGUUAAGGAGCUGAA